AAAAACUUUCAACAACGGAUCUCUUGGUUCUGGCAUCGAUGAAGAACGCAGCGAAAUGCGAUAAGUAAUGUGAAUUGCAGAAUUCCGUGAAUCAUCGAAUCUUUGAACGCACAUUGCGCCCUUUGGUAUUCCGAAGGGCAUGCCUGUUCGAGCGUCAUU
rnacentral:rRNA from 1 species